rnacentral:rRNA from 1 species
UACGUAGGGUGCGAGCGUUAAUCGGAAUUACUGGGCGUAAAGCGUGCGCAGGCGGUUCGUUGUGUCGGCGGUGAAAGCCCCGGGCUUAACCUGGGAAUGGCCGUUGAAACUGGCGAACUGGAGUGUGGCAGAGGGGGGUGGAAUUCCGCGUGUAGCAGUGAAAUGCGUAGAGAUGCGGAGGAACACCGAUGGCGAAGGCGGCCUGCUGGGCAGUAGCUGACACUGAGGCGCGACAGCGUGGGGAGCAAACAGG